GUGAAUUUGGGGACACCGUUCAGGUGCACACAAAGCAAUCUCAUUACUGUGGCUUCAUCAUAUUUAUGCUUAGUCCCCCUUCAACAUGGAUCCCUGAGCCUCAUAUCCACAUCCUAGGGAGUGUGAAGGAGGACAAGAGAAGCACAGAGAACCACACAAGCCGCGAGGUUUCCACACACUUCUAGGGAAGGCUGGAAAACUGGUUUUUUGGAGUCCAUCUUGCCACACUGUGUUGAAUGAGGAGUUACCCAGGAAAGCUGAGAAGAGGUAGCAGGGAGAGAGAAACACGGUCCAAGCACCUGUGGAAACGGAUGUCUCUGGUGCUCUAGCUGAAGAUGACGCAGCGUGGAGAAGCUAUAGUGUGGAGCUGAAGACUUCUGCUCUGUGGUCAUCAGGCCUGGAUUCAAGGCAUCUUACUCUUCCUCUCACGCUGCUUGGGUGAAAACUCAAAGCAGCUCUCCAGAGCGUCUCCGGCUCUGAGCACCCCUUUUUGGUCACCUAUGUGUUCUCUGAAAUGUCCUACCCAUCAUUUCCAGAUGGAUCACUGUCCUUUGGAGACGAGACAACCAUUACUGUCUUGAAACCAAAGCAGCUGCGAUUAUCCACAUCAGACUUCGCAUUGGGCCUGCUAGCACUGCCCUAUGAAGCAGGGAGGGUGCUCACGAGCCUCGUGAAGUGCUCAAUAGACGGCAUAUGGGACUUAUGGGUCCUCAAGCUGUCUGAAACCUGUAAGUGG